GAUAAAUGUUAUGGGGCAUCUGUCCUGAAAUUGACCCUGAAAAUUAACACUGGAUGUCAGCACAAACUGAACCAACAACUUAAUCCAUAAGCUUGUAAUUGCACUACUAGAAUGGAAAAAGAACAAGUUAAUUGCUACAAAAUGGAAUUUAAACAGGAACAAAUUGAAGAAGUAAAAGGAACCUUUUUAGAAAAGUGUCAUGGAAAAACCUGUCAAAACUCUGUAAUAUUAAAGUUCUUUUUACUUUAAUCUGUACAUCUUGGUUUGUGAUCAAACCAACUACAACCCAAAAAGACAAAUUGGCUCUGAGCUGGAAAAAAUAAAUGUAUCAUCAUCUUA